CAAUAGCGUAUAUUAAAGUUGUUGCAGUUAAAAAGCUCGUAGUUGGAUUUGUGGCGUACGGUGUGUUCCGGGCACUUGUUGUCUGAGUAACCUGCUGUUGCCAUCCUUGGGUGGAACCUGUGUGGCAUUAGGUUGUCGUGCAGGGGAUGCCCAUCAUUUACUGUGAAAAAAUUAGAGUGUUCAAAGCAGGCUUGUGCCGUUGAAUAUAUUAGCAUGGAAUAAUGAGAUAGGACUUUUUUGCUAUUUUGUUGGUUUGCGCAAAGAGGUAAUGAUUAAUAGGGACAGUUGGGGGUAUUCGUAUUCCAUUGUCAGAGGUGAAAUUCUUGGAUUUUUGGAAGACGAACUACUGCGAAAGCAUUUACCAAGGAUGUUUUCAUUAA
rnacentral:rRNA from 1 species